rnacentral:siRNA from 1 species
CUGAGAUUCAGCCCUUUGUCGCUA